rnacentral:miRNA from 1 species
GGCAAUCCCAUGUCAAA